GGGGGUAUAUAUAUAUAUAUAUAUAUAUAUAUGUCAUAUUGCCCCUGCCUCACACAUUGCUCAGGUUGACGUCAUGGAAACCAAGCCCUUCUUGAUCACUGGAAUCUCCUGCGAUGAAGCUGGGUCAAUGGGCUUAUCACUUUGCCAUCACAAAUAGUGAAAAUAAAAACUUGGUUGAGGAACAGAAGGAACCCUUGAACAAGAUUCAGGGAGGAUGGUGUACCACUUGAUUAUUGCUGGCAUUUUACUGCAGCUGCUGCAGGGAGGUGGAAGAAAGGCCAAUGCACUUGCAGCAAUCACAGGUCACAAGAAAUCAAGAUUUCAAUCAAAUGAAGCAGCAACUUACCUGCAAAGCAUAUCUUGGAAAAUCAUCAUUUGGAGAUGGAACGACAAAAUGCAGAGUGCAAUCAAAAGAAUUGCAAACAAAGAGAUGCAAAAAUGGUGUUUGAUGGCAAAAAUGCAGAAAAUACAGUGAGAGAAUUUCGGGACACAAUUCAUGAGCAAAAGGAAUUAAAUAAUCGUUAUUCCAUGUCGCCAACACCCGUGAUUGAAAUUGUGGUUGGCAUAACUGCCUUCAUAGUCACAAUAAUUACAUGUUCUUGCUGUUCAAACUGCUGCAAAACAACAAACACUCAGAGGUAAGAAUCCAAAAGUUGCAAUAAAAACUCUUGAAUUGUUUUAAAUUUUCCAUUUUACUCCCACUGGCUUAUUUGAUAUGUACA
rnacentral:lncRNA from 1 species